AUGAACGCUGGCGGCGUGCCUAAUACAUGCAAGUCGAGCGAACAGACGAGGAGCUUGCUCCUCUGACGUUAGCGGCGGACGGGUGAGUAACACGUGGAUAACCUACCUAUAAGACUGGGAUAACUUCGGGAAACCGGAGCUAAUACCGGAUAACAUGUUGAACCGCAUGGUUCAACAGUGAAAGACGGUCUUGCUGUCACUUAUAGAUGGAUCCGCGCCGCAUUAGCUAGUUGGUAAGGUAACGGCUUACCAAGGCAACGAUGCGUAGCCGACCUGAGAGGGUGAUCGGCCACACUGGAACUGAGACACGGUCCAGACUCUUACGGGAGGCAGCAGUAGGGAAUCUUCCGCAAUGGGCGAAAGCCUGACGGAGCAACGCCGCGUGAGUGAUGAAGGUCUUCGGAUCGUAAAACUCUGUUAUUAGGGAAGAACAAAUGUGUAAGUAACUAUGCACGUCUUGACGGUACCUAAUCAGAAAGCCACGGCUAACUACGUG
rnacentral:rRNA from 1 species